AGGAAACCAGAAGGAAUACUAUAAUCAAAACAGGGAAGAGAGGAGAGGGUGUGGUGGAGAAUGGAGCUAACUUCUUUAUUCUUUACAAACACCAGAUGCAGCCUAUACACCAAGAAGCUGUCUUCAGGACACCUCCAGGACAAAAACCAGGAAUGCCUACAAGGGGUACUGCAGGAAAACGGGAAGAGAGAAGUGCUGGGAAUGCAGGGGCAAAACCACAUUUGUUCUAUCCACUGCUUCUUGUGGUACAGCCUAUGAGCCUGCACAGGAAGCAAAAGGAAAACUGAAAGUCUCUGAAGAGAUUAUCCAAAAGAAGAAAAUUAUUCCCUGUGGAGUGAGUCGCCCUAACUCAGGAGGCUGCUGAAACAAGUGGCAGAACAGAACAAUGAAUCCCAUU
rnacentral:lncRNA from 1 species